rnacentral:rRNA from 1 species
AUUGAACGCUGGCGGAAUGCUUUACACAUGCAAGUCGAACGGCAGCACGGGAGCUUGCUCCUGGUGGCGAGUGGCGAACGGGUGAGUAAUAUAUCGGAACGUACCCUGGAGUGGGGGAUAACGUAGCGAAAGUUACGCUAAUACCGCAUACGAUCUAAGGAUGAAAGUGGGGGAUCGCAAGACCUCAUGCUCCUGGAGCG